GGGAGCUAAAUUGUUGUCUCGAUUCCCGUUCCUUGUUUUCAUAUUCUCAGGCGCUAUGUCGAACCUCCUUAAAACCCGUUUUUUUGCCUACUGGUGGGCAAACUACGGACCGGGGGCCACAUGCAGCCCGCCAAGCGUUUGAAUUUGGGCCCCCAGUUGCUUUCUAAGUUCCUUGUUUUCACAUUAUCAGGCUCUAUGUCGAACCUCCUUGAAACCCGUUUUUUUUCCUACUGGUCUAGAACAGGGGUGGGCAAACUACGGCCCGGGGGCGACAUACGGCACACCAAGCGUUUGAAUCCGGCCCCCCGGUUGCUUUCAAAGUAUUUCAACUUUUAACAUUCAAACUGGCAACUGUUUAGUCAAUGCGGCCCACGAGUCAAAAUAUUUGCCCACCCCUGACUAGCCUCAUUUUAGGUUUCUGCCUUGUAUUUGAUCAGGAAAAUGGCUACUUAUUAAAUGGUCACUUAUUAUGGCUACAAUAUUAGGUAAUGUGAAUUUAAAUGGAACUAUAGGGGUGUUAUUUCAUGUCCAAAGAGCUCUAAUGUUUACUAUAAUCUACAGAAAUCUAAAAUUUAUUAAUAUUGACUUAUUAUUAUUGUUGUCACUUAUGGCUACAAUAUUAGGUAAUGUGAAUUUAAAUUGAACUAUAGGGGUGUUAUUUCAUGUCCAAAGAGCUCUAAUGUUUAGUAUAAUCUAACUACGGAAAUAUUAAAUUUAUUAACAUUGACUUAUUAUUAUUAUUGUCACUUAUUAUGGCUACAAUAUUAGGUAAUGUGAAUUUAAAUUGAACUAUAGGGGUGUUAUUUCAUGUACAAAGAGCUCUAAUGUUUACUAUAAUUACAGAAAUAUUAAAUGUAUUCAGAUUGACUUAUUAUUAUUAUUGUCACUUAUUAUGGCUACAAUGUUAGGUAAUGUGAAUUUAAAUAACAAAAACUAUAGGGGUGUUAUUUUGUGUCCAAAGAGCUCUAAUAUUUAGUUAUAAUCUAACUACAAAAAUAUUAAAUGUAUUAAUAUUUUCUCCGAGAGUCUAUUAACCGCAAUAAAUGAGGGAUGUGUACAUGUAAAUAGAAUUCAUGCUUCCCUCUGUGAACCGUAGUUCACCUGUAGCAGCAGCACUCGUGCAGCCCCAGAUUGUGACGCUACCACCAUGCUUGACUAGAGGCAAAAUGCAAUCAUCUUGGUACUUGGUUCCCAAUUAUUUCGACCAGAAUGUCUGCGUGCUGUGUCAUCAUCAGCGGAUCGUCAAGCUGCACACUGAGCACGCUCGGGGACUUGCACUUGUAUCCAGAUGCUGACCAAAACAUCUGUUGGUUAGCAGGAGCCAUUCUCCUCCCAAAACAACAAUAAAAACCCAGAGUAUACUUUUAAGAAGAAUUUGGGGAGUGACUUCAAUUUAGUGCUUCAAUAACUCUGACGUGUCCGUUAAAAUUGAAGUGACUUUAUAUGAGCGUAAAAGGUUUUGAUUGAUGUGUUGUUCGAGUGCACUCAUAUCUGUGUUGGGUUUGUUUGUUUUUAAUGUGCAUCGCUUCGACUGAGCCUUAUGUUGCCAUUUGGGCUCUAGCUACAUUUACCAUCUGCCUCAUUGGUUCCUUCUUUUUCCAUGAGACUUGGACGUCUAUCUCCCUCUCCAUAUAACCCUUAUAUCCAUCUGUUCUCCUUAUUCCAUGCUGCAUUUUUGCUCCCCUGUAAUAUUAUUUUAUACCUCUAUUAAGAUGACUCUCUGUACCAAAACAUACACAACAAUUUAUCUCAUAAAUUGAGGGGCAGUUUUUGGUUUUAGUAGUUUUUUGUUUUUUUUUUACAAGGGAUCAAUACUGAAAUAUUAAUACUUCUGAUACCAGCUUUUUAUGAUCAAAAACUGAUUCUCAAAUUAAAAUAUUCAUGCUUCCGUCUGAAACAUUUGUCUAUUGAAAUGAUGGUUGUUUCUGGAGCCGUAUGUUAAUUAUGGAUAAUAAAGUUUUCAUUGUUAUUUUAAUGACAUUAUUUUACUUUUUUAUUAAAAAUGUCGAAAAUUGUUAAUUGUUAAAAAAAUACCAUUGUCACACAUUUUAUAUAUAUAUAUUUUUAUAUGUCUUCUGUGUUUUCUGUUGUUGUAAAUUAGCAUGGCCGCAUUGAAAAUGACUGCUACAUCAAUAUAUACUUUAGGGUUUCAAUUAAGCAAGUGGUUAUUCAAUUAUUUAUUUAAUGAAUAACGUAUUUAAAUGUCUUGUGUUUUUUUAUUUUAUGAUAUUAAAUAACUAUUGGUAUCGAAUCGGAAACGAAAUCAGCGGAAUCGUACGUCACUUCCGUAAACAACACAACGCUGUAUUAAAGGUAUACAUGUCAAGCACUAGUUCAAAAUGAAGCCUUUCACAAGCUUACUGAUUGGCUCAGCCAGUUUGUUUUGUGAUUGGCUGUUCUCGCUGUCACUCUUUGAGCACUAAUUUGUGGUCUAAUUUGCAACACCUGUGUUUUCAUCAAUGGUCCAUGGGAGUCCGUGUUCAUCUGUCCAUUCUAAAGUCGAGAUGAAUGCAGAGAAGGAGCAGAACAGAAGAGUCAACAGACGAGGCCAGGAGGAACGACGUGUUGAGAGACGGGUGGCAAACAUUUGCUGAUUCACAGGAAAGAAGAAAGAUUUGUCACUGUGCGACGACACAUAAGCCAAAAUGGAGCCACAGGAAGUUGCAAGUGCCAGCAAUUUGAUAAAGAAGCUAAAAAGUAUUCAAGAAAUAAUUCACGGCAAAACAAGAAGGUGGUAAACAAUCACGCCUUCAAUGAAUAUAAAAGAAAGAACUACAAAGUCAACUGCUGAUGACAUCAUAGACUGGGGACGACACAGCCGGGUGCUGGGUGGCUUAAUAGGAG